GUGGCGAACGGGUGAGUAACACGUGGGGAAUCUGCCCAUGAGCGAGGAAUAACAUUCGGAAACGGAUGCUAAUACCUCAUAAGUUCUCUGACCUCCUGGUCAUUGAAUGAAAGACGGCCUUUGUGCUGUCACUCAUGGAUGAUCCCGCGGCGUAUUAGUUAGUUGGUGAGGUAAUGGCUCACCAAGACCAUGAUACGUAGCCGACCUGAGAGGGUGAUCGGCCACACUGGGACUGAGAACGGCCCAGACUCCUACGGGAGGCAGCAGUAGGGAAUCUUCCACAAUGGGCGCAAGCCUGAUGGAGCAAUGCCGCGUGAAUGAAGAAGGUCUUCGGAUCGUAAAGUUCUGUUAUUAGAGAAGAAUAAGUUGAGGGGUAACUAUCUCGACUUUGACGGUACCUAACCAGAAAGUCACGGCUAACUACGUGCCAGCAGCCGCGGUAAUACGUAGGUGACAAGCGUUGUCCGGAAUUAUUGGGCGUAAAGGGAGCGCAGGCGGUUGGAAUAGUCUGAUGUGAAAGCCCACGGCUUAACCGUGGAAGGUCAUUGGAAACUGUCCAACUUGAAUGCAGAAGAGGUAAGUGGAAUUCCAUGUGUAGCGGUGAAAUGCGUAGAUAUGUGGAGGAACACCAGUGGCGAAAGCGACUUACUGGUCUGUAAUUGACGCUGAGGCUCGAAAGCGUGGGUAGCGAACAGGAUUAGAUACCCUGGUAGUCCACGCUGUAAACGAUGAGUGCUAGGUGUUGGAGGGUUUCCGCCCUUCGGUGCCGGAGCUAACGUAU
rnacentral:rRNA from 1 species